GUAGGGGUAAGAAGAGACCAGGGCCACGGACCCCGCUCCGACUCCGCGCGGCCGGUCGCUUACAUGCCCAGGUCGCUGUAGGUGUUGAAGAACUCCAUCUGGUUGCACGCCUGGAUCCAGCCCACCACCCAGGAAGAAGAUUCCUCACACCCAGCAGAACCAUCCUUCUGUCAGAUAGAGAAGGCUUUCUGCCUCCAGGGUUCUGCCAAACCGUCCACAAGAGCAGUCAAUCGGUCAUUUCCUCCCAAGCAUGGCUUUCAAUAAACUAAAAAAACAAAACAAACACAGGAAAACACAAAAAGCAACAAACUGAUGCUGUUGUCUCCUAGAUUAUAUCAGUAUUACCAUGGGAGUGCUGCAGGUAUGGAAGUCAGAAACUGGAAGAAAUUAUUUGAGGAGAUUUAAUAUCUAUGGCUUUUCCAGUGGUCAUGUAUGGAUGUGAGAGUUGCACUGUGAAGAAAGCUGAGUGCCAAAAAAUUGAUGCUUUUGAACUGUGGUGUUGGAGAAGACUCUUGAGAGUCCCUUGGACUGCAAGGAGAUCCAACCAGUCCAUCCUGAAGGAGAUCAGUCCUGGGUGUUCAUUGGAAGGACUGAUGCUGAAGCUGAAGCUCUAAUACUUUGGCCACCUGAUGUGAAGAGUUGACUCAUUGGAAAAGACCCUGAUGCUGGGAGGGAUUGGGGGCAGGAGGAGAAGGGGACGACAGAGGAUGAGAUGGCUGGAUGGCAUCACCGACUCGAUGGACAUGAAUUUGAGUAAACUCCGGGAGUUGGUGAUGGACAGGGAGGCCUGGCAUGCUGUGAUUCAUGGGGUUGCAAAGAGCUGGACAUGACUGAGCGACUGAACUGAACUGAACUGAACAUCUAGGACACACUUGUUCUGUGCUCUGGUCUCCACCCAGUGAACCUUGGAUAUUGGGGUUGGUUGAUUGUAGUAAUGUCUGAAUUUUUUCCCACCACCUGUAUCCAGGCCUUUGAUAGUGCCCCCCUGCACUGACUUUUGGCACAGUCAUGUGUCUUGAUUUGGCCAAGGGAGCAGCCUGAAAAGUGCCUGUAUGUUGGGGCUGGUCCUCUUGCUGGUCUUGCAACUACUGCUGCUGCCACCAAAUGAUCAAGCACAAGCUUGCUUCCUGGAGGAGAUACCACAUGAUCAGAGAUAAGCCAUCCCACUCAAGCCAUCAUAGACUAGCCAGUUGCCAGUCAACUCUACAGCUGAUCACAGAUGUAUGAGUGCCCAGCUGAUAUUAGCAGAGUCUGGUACCAAGCUGCAAGAACCACUCAGGCACAAGAGGCCUACAUUGCAACUUCUCAAAUUGUAAGCCAAAGGAUUAACCUAGUAGGAACAAAAGAACAGAAAUCAACAAAUUUUCAGAACUAGAAAGCAAAUGGAGGACCGCUCACUGACCAAGCAGGGUGAAUAACACUCAAGUGCCUAUAAAGAGGGAGUCUGAUGAAAAGGAGACCCACCCACCUAACAGAUACUCCAGAGAGACUCAAUACGGCAAAGGGAAAAUUCUUCGCUGGACACAAGACCUCGACAUACUGACCUUUGGAAGUUCCUAGUAAAAAGCCUGCCUCACUCCUUGUUUAGCCUACUCAACAGCUGACAAUCACCUCUAUCCCUAAAUUAA